CACAUCCGCCUCAGCGUCRGGA
rnacentral:rRNA from 1 species